CGUCGUUGCUGCCCAGCCCUGUGGAUCCCUCUGCCUGGCUGCUGCUGUGUAGAUUCUCUGACACCUGUGACCAAGACCGCGCUGUGGCCGGUCCUGCUGUAGUUGGUCAGCCAUGGUGCCGACUGAACUCGGGCAGACUCCCAAAGCUGAAGUUGACAUCCGGUGGCGAACGGAUGACUCCUGCGAGCUAGAACAGACUUCCGGAAUCGUCACCUACGAAGAUUGAACAUUUGGACAGACCAUGUCUCUCCUCAGAUCCGAACUGCUUCCGGAUGGCUUCUGUCCAUUGCUGCCUGUGCUCCACUAUUUAUAUCCGGCAGGAGGACGUUUUUUACCCUCGGUGGUAGCUUUUUGUUAUUACUCCCGCAGUAUAUUGCAGCGUAACUUGGCGUGCUGGCCUCACUUCCCCUUACUCAGCACUCUCCAGUCUUCGCUCAGCACUCAGUCUGUGUGCGUCCUUGCCUCAGCUUGUUGGUAGACCGCUUCUGUCAGCAAGGCUAUCUGUGCUGCACUUACUUUGCAACGCCUCAGUCGCCGGCUGCCUCAGUUUUGCCAUUCUCCACUGCGUGAAGCAACACUUACUACAUGUGGCCGCAACAGGAUAGUUUACACGACCCUUGUACAUAUUUGGAAUAAUCAGCACAGUUUACAAACAUCAUAGGUUACACUAGCUACUAAGAUAACCUCAGAUAACAUUUAAUAAUAGACCGCUUAAGUGCUCCCUGGUCAAUAAUACUGCGCAAUAUUUCUUGAUGCACAAUAAUAUUAAACGUGUCGGGGCAAGACUGAGAGGUUGCACAAUAAUACUGAACACAUCAAAAACUUUUGAAACAGAUUGUCCAUCCACACUAAUGUGACCACUUAUCAGAAGGCUGAAUAACGACCUUUUGCAGCGCAGAUCACUGCGAGAAGUGCAGAAAGUGUGUCAUUGAGGUUCUGGGAGGCACCGACUGAGAUGCAGAGCCAUGCCAACUCCAGAGCUGUGGCCAGUUGCACUAGGUUCCUCGGAUGGAGUUCCAUGGCUCAAACAGCUCGAUCGAGAUGGUACCACAGAUUUUCGACUGGGUUGUAAAUAAAAAGUUAAACACACUUACAUAUGCAGUAAAAAUCCUCGCACAAAAUACAAGCCGUGUGUCAGUGAUCACAAUGUACCAUGGCAGUAUUCACUCAUGUCUGAUGUACGGAAUUACCUUUUGGGGGAACUGCAUAGGUACAAACAAAACAUUUAGGCUACAGAAAAUGAUUGUUAGAAUAAUAAACCAUGCUAAGUACAGAGACUCCUGUAGAUCAAUAUUUAAAAAUCUCACUAUACUGCCUCUUCCUUGUUUAUAUAUGUAUGAAAUACUAAAUUUCACAAAAGGAGGUAUAUUAAACGAUGGAAAUAUCUUCUAGUACAACUGUGAUUACCACCCUCAUGAUACUAGGCAGAAGCAUUAUUUGCAUGUCAAUACUGUAAGUACAAACAUUUGUAAAAGAGGAGUGUAUCAUACUGGCAUAAUGCUGUACAAUCACAUGCCAUCCUAUUUGAAACAGAUGCAAAAUUUACAAAAGUUUAAAGUGAAACUGAAAGAGUACUUGCUUGAGCACUGCUUCUAUUCUGUUUCCGAGUUUUUAGAGUACCAGAAAAGUAUAGUGUAACUGCUCAAAUAUUCUUAACCAAUCUAUCAUUUUAUUUCAUUAUAUUAAUUUUGUCAUUAAUUUCAAUAUGUACUGAAUAAUUUUUAAUUAUGUAUCUUCUCAAAAUAACAAUGUGUAUGAUGUUGCGUAUACUGUACCAACCUGACUUGUUCUACAUCCUUUGUGCAAAAUAUGUACCUAAACACGAUUUACAGGACCAAUAAAGAAAUACAAAUGCAAUGUUUUUUAUCAGGACCUUUUUAGGAGGUGCUGACUUGACCCGCAAAAUGCUAUGCUAGCAAUUCUUUAUCGUGGCCCAUCUGCAGUUUUGAAUAUCCUACAAACACAAGUAUACGCUUCCAUUUGCUUUAUCAAAAACUAGCAUACAUAGUCAUUCGACUUAGUUUCUCUACUCACCAAUAGAACUUGGUAUUUGUAUGACAUGACUGAUUGGUUGUGACUCAUUAGUCGUAUUAUUAAUGCCUGAUACAUUUAUGCAUUUCGUGAAGUGCCCAGUUUUAGGAGGUUUAGUCAAUUAUUAUCCGCAAUUUCGUUAUAUUUUUGUUUACUUUGGUGGUACUGUCGUUUUACGUUGAUGACGAAUGUUUUGUUUAUUUGUUGUCAUAUCUUCGCAAUUUUCAAGCUGCUACGUUAGUUUCGUUAUUGCUGCCGUGCUGUUGCUCUUGGCUGCUCCGCUGUCUGUCUGCACCAAAGAAGAACUACGUUCAGUGAUCCGUUUUUUGUGGUCGAAAGGCAUAUCACGCACCGAAAUUCAUCGAAGAUUUUCGGUACAGUACGGGAACAGUGUUUUGCCACAACGGAGUGUCUACGAAUGUAUUGGAAAAAUUCCGAAAUGAUCGCACAAGUGUUAUGCACGAUGAAGGAGCCGGACGACUGUUUACCGCCACAAACGAAGAAACCAUUGAGCGUUCGCGUGAAAUCAUUCUCUUAGACAGACGAUUAACUAUUGACGAAGUGGCACAUCGCCUGCAAAUUAGUCACGGUUCUGCCUACAAAAUCAUCCAAAAUAGACUUGGGUUUCAUAAAGUUUGUGCAAGAUGGGCCCCAAAACAACAACUCACACAGUUGCAUAAACAAACGCGCUUCGACAUCUCCAAAGCACAUUUAGAUCGCUAUGUUAAUGAAGGGGACAACUUCUUAGACAGGAUCAUUACUGGUGACGAAACAUGGAUCCAUCAUUACGAGCCGGAGAGUAAACGGCAGAGUAUGGAAUGGAAACAUCCAAAUUUGCCGUGCAAGAAAAAGUUCAAGACCCAACCGUCCGCAGGAAAACUGAUGCAUACGGUUUUUUGGGACGCACAAGGUCCACUACUGGAACAUAAUGGGGUAAGGGGCACAACAAACAGUGUACGUUACAGUGAGAUGCUUAUGCCGAGCUAAAAGGCUGCAAUUCGAAGCAAACGCCGAGGAUUGCUGUCGAAAGGUGUGUCGUUGCAUCGUCCGCAUACUGCUGCCUACACUGCUGAAACGCUCCAGAAACUCAAAUUUGAAGUAAUGGAUCAUCCUCCAUAGAGUCCCGAUCUUGCCCCUUCUGAUUAUCACUUGUUUGAUCCACACAAACAGGCAUUAAGGGGCCGCCGAUUUGCCUCGGACGAAGUAGUGAAAGAAGCGGUGCAUUCCUGACUCGCAGCUCAACCGAAAACCUUCUUUUAUGAGGGCAUCAGGAAGCUUGUACAACGAUGGACCAAGUGCAUUGAAACGCAAGGAGACUAUGUCGAAAAACGAUGUUCUUGUAAGUUUCCGAUUUGAUUACAAUAAAAUUUUAUAACUACUUUGCGGAUAAUAAUUGACUUACCCUCGUACAUUUGUCUAUUUUGCCAGUAUUUUCAUCGGGCUGAUAUUUUGUCGAGUAUUACUACGGUUUAAAUCAUGUAAGCAACCUCAUGUAAAGUUGCAUUUUCGAAAAAAUAUUAUCGACUACGUCUUUAAUGAGUAACGAUAUGAAUAAUAUAAUCAAAGAUUAAUUGGGCAUUAUUAUGUAAAGAACUGUAAUAAUCGUCGUAACCUUCAAAAUAUUGAAAUAAGGGCUCCCCUCAAAUUUAAUAAUAUUAUCAAAACGGUAAUAUAUUGGCAUCUGAGAGGUAGACGUAAUGUCAACACUACCAAUAUUGACGAGAAGUUUUUAAUUACAUUUACAUAGCCUUACUUGAUGCACGCCAAGUGCUCGUAUUGCUUUCAAUAAAAUAUCAUAAUCCUCACUGGUAAUUAUAUGGGUUAUUUUUCCUCCAAAAUGUUUCAAUAUUGCUACUACGUAAAGAGCGUAUGUCAUCUCGAACUGGCUGUUUUGACAAUAGUCGUCAUUCAGGUGUUAGAGCUCAGCCUCUCCGAGUUAGUGUGCCAUGUAUGUACUGUUUGCUGUUUAUGUUACCAGUUCGUAUUUGUGUAUGUCAUUGCUCAGAUUCAAUUUUUCAAGUUGUCUCUUAACGCAAACGGGUUUUGUUAGGACUAUACAGACAGUUACUACAACAUUAUAGGGGUCAAUGGCAUUGCUUUCUUUGUUAAUCUGAAAACAGUAAUCCUAUUAAUUUGCUAAUUACACAGCUGUGUAGGAAAAUAGCGUGUACUUAUGAAAGUACAUCAUAUAUAUACAAUGGCUACUAAAAGAUUUGCGAAAUAUAUGUCAGCCUCACCAUAUUAUCACAAAACAUAAGUAUAUUACGUUAAUUACCUGAACAUAUCAUUGCAGGAUAGCUGUAAUCACGGGACAGGUUUCAGUAACAGUUUUGAUAUUCGUGUUUGUUGAUAUUACAGCACUAAACUUAAGGCAUUUGUUUGGCCUGCAUGUCGCCAGAGAUCUAAAAGUUGCACUUAAUUCUAUCAUUUGCUGCGAUUGCCUCUCUCAGUAAUGUAUUUUGCUUCUGCAUGUUAAAUUGCAUCAACAUGACCAUUUGUCGUAAGAUGCAGGGCUCAUCCAAAAAUAGUUUAUUAAAUCUUUCGGGUCACUGAAUUUACAUACGCCAAGUCGCUCCUUUUUUCAGCCAUUCUUGGAUGCAUUUCCACUUAUUCGUAGUUUACUAGCCGUACCUAAUAUAAUUGAGGCACACGCUUUACGUAUUCAACAUGUAAUAUUAUGAAGUCGCGUUGCCAACUGACAAUUAUUGAUGGUGUGAGAGCCGCUUUAAUAUAUCGAAGUUUUGACAAACUGUUAUUGUAAAUAAAUAAAUAAAUUGUAAAUAAAUAAAAAAUUGGAAGUGCACAGACCCCAUAUAUAUUAUAUGUGGCAAAAUUCACUUUCGUUCAUUACUUUAUUUUACUUCAACGUGAAAACUUCACGCGUUUCUGAAAUCAUAUGUAAAUUCGCAGUAUCAUUGUGCAACACCGCUCUGAUUCAGAUCUUUCUCGUCCUACCAAGAAACAACGGUGUAACUACGUUUCUGAGAUUCUAUUGGUCGGCUGUACUGCGCAGAUGUGUGAGAUCUCUGGUACUUUCGAGAUGCGCCUAGUUGUUGUCUGAUGCAAGGCGUAUAGCGUCGCGGUAAGCCGCUCCGUAUAAAUGGGUGUUACAAGCCCACUGCGCGCAGUUUGUCAGUGGAAAGCGUGAGGGUUUACGUGCCGGGUGUUUCUGCACUAGUGAGUUACAUCAUAUACAUAAUGUUGCGAUCAUUCGGAAGAGUGAUGCCAGCUACUGUGGCUGUUCGUCAAGCUUUGCGGCAGCCUGUCCAAUGCCGCAGUUUCUGGGAUUUCAGCAGAUCUUCUGAUCUUCGGUCCUUGGCACGUGAUAUGGAGCGGCAGGU